AUUGAACGCUGGCGGCACGCCUUACACAUGCAAGUCGAACGGCAGCACGGGGCAACCUGGUGGCGAGUGGCGAACGGGUGAGUAAUGCAUCGGAACGUACCUCUCAGUGGGGGAUAACGUAGCGAAAGUUACGCUAAUACCGCAUAUUCUGUGAGCAGGAAAGCAGGGGAUCGUAAGACCUUGCGCUGAUUGAGCGGCCGUUGUCAGAUUAGCUAGUUGGUGAGGUAAAGGCUCACCAAGGCGACGAUGUGAAGCGGGUCUGAGAGGAUGAGCCGCCACACUGGAACUGAGACACGGUCCAGACUCCUACGGGAGGCAGCAGUGGGGAAUUUUGGACAAUGGGGGCAACCCUGAUCCAGCCAUGCCGCGUGAGUGAAGAAGGCCUUCGGGUUGUAAAGCUCUUUCGGCCGGGAAGAAAUCGCACGGGCUAAUACCCUGUGUGGAUGACGGUACCGGAAUAAGAAGCACCGGCUAACUACGUGCCAGCCGCCGCCGUAACAC
rnacentral:rRNA from 1 species